ACAUGCAGUCGAACGAUGAAGCCCUUCGGGGUGGAUUAGUGGCGAACGGGUGAGUAACACGUGGGCAAUCUGCCCUGCACUCUGGGACAAGCCCUGGAAACGGGGUCUAAUACCGGAUAUGACCGUCCAUCGCAUGGUGGAUGGUGUAAAGCUCCGGCGGUGCAGGAUGAGCCCGCGGCCUAUCAGCUAGUUGGUGAGGUAGUGGCUCACCAAGGCGACGACGGGUAGCCGGCCUGAGAGGGCGACCGGCCACACUGGGACUGAGACACGGCCCAGACUCCUACGGGAGGCAGCAGUGGGGAAUAUUGCACAAUGGGCGAAAGCCUGAUGCAGCGACGCCGCGUGAGGGAUGACGGCCUUCGGGUUGUAAACCUCUUUCAGCAGGGAAGAAGCGAAAGUGACGGUACCUGCAGAAGAAGCGCCGGCUAACUACGUGCCAGCAGCCGCGGUAAUACGUAGGGCGCAAGCGUUGUCCGGAAUUAUUGGGCGUAAAGAGCUCGUAGGCGGCUUGUCACGUCGGUUGUGAAAGCCCGGGGCUUAACCCCGGGUCUGCAGUCGAUACGGGCAGGCUAGAGUUCGGUAGGGGAGAUCGGAAUUCCUGGUGUAGCGGUGAAAUGCGCAGAUAUCAGGAGGAACACCGGUGGCGAAGGCGGAUCUCUGGGCCGAUACUGACGCUGAGGAGCGAAAGCGUGGGGAGCGAACAGGAUUAGA
rnacentral:rRNA from 1 species